rnacentral:rRNA from 1 species
AAAUUGAAGAGUUUGAUCAUGGCUCAGAUUGAACGCUGGCGGCAGGCCUAACACAUGCAAGUCGAGCGGAAACGAGUUGUCUGAACCUUCGGGAGACGAUAACGGCGUCGAGCGGCGGACGGGUGAGUAAUGCCUAGGAAAUUGCCCUGAUGUGGGGGAUAACCAUUGGAAACGAUGGCUAAUACCGCAUGAUGCCUACGGGCCAAAGAGGGGGACCUUCGG